ACUGAAAUAGGCUCAGUGUGUGUCAUAGAAGAGAGGAUUUUAAUGGCACAGUUUCUUCACUGCAGGAAUGAAGUUGAUAUUCCCUCACCGUUUCCCUCAUCCGAUUAAUCCUUUCCACGCCGAGCGGCACUGAGCGGACAGCUCCUCAAGCACCUCUCUUGGCUCAGCACCGUACCCUGCCACAGAGACCCUGGUGAACUCAGCUAGACACUGCUGCUGGUUUUGAAAGAAGCAGAAGUUGGGUGAAUCAUUUCGGCAUCAUUGCAAGGAAAUGUUUCAGCAGGCUGAAACACGAAGGAGUUUUCAGCCAUUAGGUUCGUAAACAUUUGUGCAAUUUCCUCUCUAGUCCCUGUGUGCUGCAGGUAAAAGCCUCCAGUGUGGGAAAGCCAUUUCCAUGCUGGGUGUAAGUCUGAGUUUUGCUUCCUGGGUAGCAUUCUGCAUGAGUUGGUGACUCAAGGUGUGCAGACAGAGAGCCCUACCACAGCACAACAGGCUUUCCCCCACAGCUGAGGGCUCCUUCCCUCCUCCUGCUGGGGGUCACUGAUGGGCUUUUAUGGACUGGUCCCCAUCACGGUGAUGGUGAUGUCCACUGUAGGUCAGUGUGCCCUCCACAGUGAGGUGUGGGGGAGCCAGGCUGGGCAGGAAUAGGAC
rnacentral:lncRNA from 1 species